CUUGAGCGAGCCGAGCAGCAGCGGAUGCCCGUCCGCGCGGUCCUGGCCGUAGGUGGCCAGCAGGGCCUGGGCCUC
rnacentral:antisense_RNA from 1 species